UUUUUACGUCAAAAAGUUCACGACGAGCUGGAAUGCGCCGCGGAUCGUUAAAAAGGUGUAUUCGCUCGGCUCGAACGUUUUCGACGAUUAACGCGGCUUAGAAAGCAUCAACCGUUGCACGUCGUUUACGGAUUCGCAAGUCGCUUGUAUAACACUCUGCGAAACAUCUGUUACGGUUUCAGUUGCCGAUCAGUAGAUUUAUCGCCUUUACAAGUUCGCAGUUUGAAUUGGUAUUUUACGUAGAAAAGAGAAAGUUGGCGAUAAGAUUUCGAAUCGCGAGAGAGUAACGGCUGGAUGAAUUGACAUUGACGUGGUGACGAUAAUAAUGGAAUAUACGUAUUACGACCAUUUUUCACGAUUCAAUCUGCUUACGCUCGGCAUUAAGAGGCUUAGACAUAACAAAUUAGUAUUCCUUCGGUGAAAAGGACCUAGACCCAGUAUCGGCCGUGGAAUUGCCUAAUACAACGUCGUACGGCAAGUAACGCACGGAAUUGGGUUAGAAAGCGGCUGAAAGAGCGUUCGAGAGCAAUGAAAAGAUAUUUGUCGAAAAGGAAUUGGGUAAGUAGAGGAACACUAGCGUUAAAUGGAACGAAAAACGGUACGAUUAAACGGAAAACGACCAGCUCUGUUUCUUCCAUUUCUCCUUUCGAUACCUUGUGGUCGAACGAGUAUAGCGAUUGCGUAAUUGCUGGUGAGAUUGGUCAUCGACGAAACAGUCGAAUCGAACGUAAGCGUUGUAUAUUCGAUAAAUUGCAUUCGAUUAUAAACAGAUUAUGCAUAUAUUGGAUGUAUUUAUAGGAGUUCGAACACAAACAUGCCAAUUUUAUGGGCAUUUUUAUCGUCUACUAUUUUUAAUACCAGAAUGAGCACGAUUUUAUGCAAAUUUAUAUUUUAAUGAAGAUAACCAAAGGAUAAAGAAAUGUAUCAGCUAAAUUGUCGGGCUAUUAUGCUUCUCAUAUUUUAUGUAUCUUCGCCUACUUCGCGCAAUUCGUAUUUUAUGC
rnacentral:lncRNA from 1 species